AUUGAACGCUGGCGGCAGGCCUAACACAUGCAAGUCGAACGAGUGGCGGACGGGUGAGUAAUGUCUGGGAAACUGCCUGAUGGAGGGGGAUAACUACUGGAAACGGUAGCUAAUACCGCAUACCAUCGGAUGUGCCCAGAUGGGAUUAGCUAGUAGGUGGGGUAACGGCUCACCAAGGCGACGAUCCCUAGCUGGUCUGAGAGGAUGACCAGCCACACUGGAACUGAGACACGGUCCAGACUCCUACGGGAGGCAGCAGUGGGGAAUAUUGCACAAUGGGCGAAAGCCUGAUACAGCCAUGCCGCGUGUAUGAAGAAGGCCUUCGGGUUGUAAAGUACUUUCAGCGGGGAGGCGUUACCCGCAGAAGAAGCACCGGCUAACUCCGUGCCAGCAGCCGCGGUAAUUC
rnacentral:rRNA from 1 species